AAUAAUCAUAUCAUUCAUUCAUUCAUUUCCGGUUACGCCAAGCGACACGUGCUAGCGGAGUGUUACUUAUUAAUAAAUAAUUGUUAAAUGUGUUUCGAGUGAAUAAAUGCAAUAUUUGUAGUGGAUUUACAUAUUAUAUUGCUUGCACAGAAGUGUUACGGUAUUUCCUCAUAAAUGGUGGGGUCAAGAGUUUACGUCGGCGGUCUGCCGUUCGGUGUCAGAGACAGAGACUUGGAGAAGUUUUUCAAAGGGUUUGGGAGGAUCAGGGACAUACUUAUCAAGAAUGGAUAUGGUUUUGUGGAAUUUGAAGACUACAGAGAUGCAGAUGAUGCAGUCUAUGAACUCAAUGGCAAGGAUUUACUAGGAGAAAGGGUGGUGGUGGAGCCGGCGCGAGGCAUCGACCGCAGCGCUGAUCGUAACCGACGGGACCGCCACUCCGAGCGCGACCGCGGGCGCGGCUCGCGUGACAAUUACAGAUAUGGGCCGCCAACGAGAACGGAGUACCGGCUCGUCGUCGAAAAUCUGUCUAGCCGCAUUAGCUGGCAGAAGGUGGCGUUUCGUGCCCUGAGCCCUCGAUGUAGUGCCGUGUGAGAUGUGGUCUGAGGCGAUGUUAGAGGAUCGGUCCGCAGCCCUGCGCCAGGCGAGCUCCGCCGCCGCCGCCACCGCAGCCUGGUCCCGGUGCCGAGCCGCGUGCCGCCCAGGACUUGAAGGAUUACAUGCGUCAAGCUGGUGAAGUAACUUACGCUGACGCGCACAAGCAACAUAGAAAUGAAGG
rnacentral:misc_RNA from 1 species